UAAAAUUAUGAUUUUAUUUAGAAAUUGGGUUAAUACUUUGAUUUUCAUACUUAAAUUGUUCUAAAGGAAUUUUUUUUAGUAGUAAUUUACAUUAUUAAUCUAUUAAUAUAGGAUAUAGCAAUAGUGUUUAAUUCUAACAAAUUUUUGUGCCAGCAGUUGCGGUUAUACAAAAAGGAUAACUUAAUUUUUGUGGUUGGUAGAUAACUAGUUAAAAAUUUAAAAAUGUUACAUUGGGAGGUGAAAUUUUAAUGUGAAGUAUAAGUGGGUGAAUUAAGUGAUCUAAGUAGAUUUUGUAAUAAACCAGGAUUAGAUACCCUGUUAUAUUAAUUGUUAACAAAUAACCAGAUUAUUAACAGAUAAGUCCUUGAAAAUUAACUAUCUUGGCGGUACUUUAACCUACCAGAGGAACCUGCCCUGUAAUUGAUAGUCCACAAUUUAUUUUACUUUAAUUAUUGCUUGUAUAUCGUUGUUGUAAUGAAUAUUUUUAGAAAAAUUUAAUAUUCUUCAAAUAAAAUUAUAUUUUAUAUCAAAUCAAGGUGCAGCUUUUUAAAGAAGAGGUGGGUUACUUUUAUGAAUUUGAAUUUGUAAAAUUUUACUUUUUAGGAUUUGGUAGUAAUAUUAAUUUAUUAAAGUUGUAUGAAUCAGGUUAUAAAGUAUGUACAUAUCGCCCGUCGCUUUCAUAAUUUAUGAAAUAAGUCGUAACAUAGUAGAUUUAUCGGAAGAUGACUCUAGAAUAAC
rnacentral:ncRNA from 1 species